GGUGCCUGGUCCAACUGUCAUCAGAGAGGUGUCAUCCAACAACUGAUGGAGGCAGAUGCAGAGAGCCACAGCCAAACAAUGGGUGGAGUUCUGGAAUCCUACAGAGGAGGAGGAGAAAGGAGUGUAGGGGCCGGGGUCAAGGACACCUGUGUGUGGAAGGCUCACCAGUCAACAGCCUGGCUCGUAAGGGCUCACCAGAGACUGGACCAGCAACCGGGACCUGCAUGAUACUGACCUGGGCACUCUCCAUAGAUGUUACACACCCCAAAAGGCAAGCAUGCUCACACCGUGGAGAGAAAAAGAGUGUCUUUCUGCUUCGGUGCCACAGCAUUAAGAUUUCUUGAGUAAAAGCACCAAGGACAGAGUUGACAAGUCUUCUUUUCCUCUUCCACCCUAUCGUAUGGAAGCUGUGAGAGCACAACAUCAAAGCUGAACUGACUUCAAAGCCUCAGACACUCACUGUUUCCAGCUAUUACUGUCACGGCCACUUCACCCUCACAGCAGCUCAUCUCACGGAACUGCUGACGAGGGUCCACUCCUGUGCUGCCCACCUCCCCAUUCCAAACUAUCAAAACUACUCCUUAAAUAAACCAGUCCAGAGAACUAG